AUUGAACGCUGGCGGCAGGCCUAACACAAGCAAGUAGAACGAGUGGCGGACGGGUGAGUGAUGUAUGGGAAACGGCCUGAUGGAGGGGGAUAACUACUGGAAACGGUAGCUAAUAACGCAUAGCAUCAGAUGUGCCCAGAUGGGAUUAGCUAGUGGGGGGGGUAACGGCGCACAAAGGCGACGAUCCCUAGCUGGUCUGAGAGGAUGACCAGCCACACUGGAACUGAGACACGGUCCAGACUCCUACGGGAGGCAGCAGUGGGGAAUCUUGCACAAUGGUGCCAAGCCUUAUGCAGCCAUGCCGCGUGUAUGAAGAAGGCCUUCGGGUUGUAAAGUACUUUCAGCGGGGAGGCGUUACCCGCAGAAGAAGCACCGGCUAACUCCGUGCCAGCAGCCGCGGUAAUAC
rnacentral:rRNA from 1 species